UCGGGAAUGAGAGAGAAUAUGUGGAGUUUACAGGGUCACACCGACAGACGAAAUUACUGACAUUCGGUGAAUUCAUUGGAGCUGGGCAGUGAGGGACAUUGACAGUGAUGGGAUCUACGAUCAGUGAAUUACUGAAGGGUUUAACGUUCCCUGAAAUAUCCGGGUGAGAGAAAUGCCCUCAGACGGACGAUUUUAAUCACAAUGUUCAUCAAUUUGUCUGUUUGUGUUUAGCCUGAACGAUAAUAAACUGGGGGAUUCAGGAGUGAAACUGUUGUCUGCGGCUCUGAGGAACCCGGAGUGUAAAAUACAGAAACUGUGGCUGGGGUAUGUCGGUCUCACAGAUUCUGGGGCCGAGGAUCUCGUCUCCGCUCUCAGUACAAAACCAUCACUGACGGAUCUGAGCCUGAGUGGUAAUGAACUGGGGGAUUCAGGAGUGAAACUGGUGUCUGCGGCUCUGAGGAACCCGGAGUGUAAAAUACAGAGUCUGUGGCUGAGGUAUGUCGGUCUCACAGAUUCUGGUGCCGAGGAUCUCGUCUCCGCUCUCAGUACAAACCCAUCACUGACGGAUCUGGACCUGGGAUCAAACUCUCUGACAGACCGAUCUGUCCCCGCUCUCCGCCGCCUCAUCCUGACCCUCCGGAGUCUGAAGUGG